rnacentral:rRNA from 1 species
UAAUAGCUCACUGGUCGAGUCGGCCUGCGCGGAAGAUGUAACGGGGCUAAACCAUGCACCGAAGCUGCGGCAGCGACGCUGAUGCGUUGUUGGGUAGGGGAGCGUUCUGUAAGCCUGUGAAGGUGUGCUGUGAGGCAUGCUGGAGGUAUCAGAAGUGCGAAUGCUGACAUAAGUAACGAUAAAGCGGGUGAAAAGCCCGCUCGCCGGAAGACCAAGGGUUCCUGUCCAACGUUAAUCGGGGCAGGGUGAGUCGACCCCUAAGGCGAGGCCGAAAGGCGUAGUCGAUGGGAAACAGGUUAAUAUUCCUGUACUUGGUGUUACUGCGAAGGGGGGACGGAGAAGGCUAUGUUGGCCGGGCGACGGUUGUCCCGGUUUAAGCGUGUAGGCUGGUUUUCCAGGCAAAUCCGGAAAAUCAAGGCUGAGGCGUGAUGACGAGGCACUACGGUGCUGAAGCAACAAAUGCCCUGCUUCCAGGAAAAGCCUCUAAGCAUCAGGUAACAUCAAAUCGUACCCCAAACCGACACAGGUGGUCAGGUAGAGAAUACCAAGGCGCUUGAGAGAACUCGGGUGAAGGAACUAGGCAAAAUGGUGCCGUAACUUCGGGAGAAGGCACGCUGAUAUGUAGGUGAAG